UACACCCCACCUCAAUCCCUCCAGCCGUCGCUGCCCCUCCCACAUCUCUCCUCCAUCCCCCUCCUCUCUCUCUCCUCUCUUUCCACCUCGUCCGCGAGCCCAUCACCCAGCGCUCGCGCGCUUGCCUCCCGGACCAGCCCGCCACCGCGCCGCUAGGGUUCGUCUGCCGCGGAUUUCCACGGGGAAGGAGCAGCGAUGGGGGUAGGCUCUAAGCGGCGCGCACUUCAUGGGGAGGCAAGGAACAAGGAGGUGACGGGGUCGGAUCUGGCGGUGGUAGGUCAGAGCUCGAGCUCGAGGCCGAGAUGGGGAAGGUAAAAAAUAGAGACUGGAUGGAGAUGCUCGAGGCGGAGGACCGCCCGUCGGCGAGCUCGAGCUGGAGACGCACAAUUAGCGUCACCGGCCAUUGGAUGGGUUGGAGCACGAGGCAGCGCUCCUGUCGCUAUGUGGUGGAGCCGCGCAGGAGGGUGAGGAGGUUGGCGACAGGGAACCGGGCCGGGGAGGAGGCAAGGUUGCGUAUAGUAUAGGAGGCAUUGGUGAUGAAACAUGAAUGUCCGUUGAUCUUGUCCGCUCUAGAUCUCAGUAGACCUGUGUGAUGUGCUCUUGAUCCUUUCUCUCUUUUCUCGUUAAACGAAUCUCAGACUGAGGAGAGCAUGUUCUUUAAUUAGGUUGCAAUCGUGAAACUUCUUUUGGUUUUUCUUAUUGUACAAUACGAAGCUUCCAAGUUGUUUGGUCCUGGAAAUAAGUUACCAAAUUUCUGUGUGCAGUGAGCUGGGAGCCGGGGUCAUCCCUCUCACUACCAGUCGAACAUACUACGUCAGCCACCAUGUCGAGCGAUAUAAAAGUGUUCUCUAUUUCAUAGAGCAACAACAUGAGAUUAUGCCCCCUCUUGCUCCUGGUGCAUGUUGCUGCCCUCCUUUCUCCUCUUAUUUCACUUGCUUUACAUUGUGUGAAGUUGUUUACUUUCAACUUUACAAAGCUAUAUCCUAUGUUUUAAAGGCGUCCCUAAGGCGACGCCUAGGCGACGCCUAGGCGUCGAAGCGCUCCCCCUCCGCUUUGGAAAAUCGACCGCUUUGGGCGCCUAGGCGUCGCCUAGGCGCCAAAGCGCCCCCCUCCCUAAGGCGGUAAGGCAUCGCCUUAAAAACAUAGGCUAUAUCAAGUUCGCAACUGUAUUUGGCUACACCUAUAACAUAUUGCAUUUCUCUUCCAGUUUAUUGAAUAUAUUUUUAAGGAUUGAAUGUUCUGUCUGGUACUGUCCUAUCACACAUUUAACUAUCUUAAUUUGUUCACAAAACUCCUUCUGUAGUUAAGAUUUCAUUGUACAACACGUACUAAUUAUUGGUCUUAUUCUUAAAUCUUAUUUCACGCUAUUCAGCUGCAGGCUGGGUUAAGAUUGUUUUUGUGCCAGAAACAGACUAGGCAAUGCUCUAACUUGGCAGCAAAAAAUGUCUAAAUUUCAUAAAUAAGGUCGUGGAAUAUCUUUGAAUAAGUUCAUUUGAAUAUCUUGAGUUGACCUGUAUGGGUUGCUUCUGUGCACACUUUCUUUGAUAUGAAUUUCUAGGAGAGAAAUUAUUUCAUGGUAAUGAUGUAUUAUCAAUAUUUACUUUGUUCUUGGCCUAUAGGUUUCUUUUUGUGGGAUGCAAUUAUGGUACCAUAUGAAUAUGAUCCUUGAGUUGCAUAUUAUUGCCCUUUUGGACAUAGACAUGUGCCAUGUAGUACAACAUUUAUAAAGCAUGUAUUGGAAAUUGUAAGUAGAUGAUUACGGUUACCCUGUAAUUUGAGGAGUAAGAUAUAUAUGGUGAUAGAAUCUAGAGAUACUUGUUAAUCUAUAACAAUGAGAUCCAGUCACGUGAAAUAUGUUUUAUUCACAGAAACAGGGAAUCAAUCUGGCUGAAAGUAGUCAUCUUAUGGCGUGGCAUGAAGAGAUGUGUGCAGAUCUGAGAAAGAAGAGGAAUAAUCCAGCAGAAGAAUUUGGUGAAUAAGAACAAGUUGGCAUUUCUCUCUUGUGAACACAGUCAUGCCUGCCUUUUGAUUUUAUUAUUUGUGCUAAUGCAAACAUGAAUUCUCUAUAGUUCUUUGCGCAGCACUGCUAAUUACUCAAUCUGCAAUACAUAAUUAUUUCUGUGAGAAGUUUAGUGCAUGACUUAGCAUUCUGUAAAGUCUGUCUAAGCUCCUGUCUCUAGGCCUAAAUAGAUUUCUCAAUAUCAUUUUUGUUUAAACACUGAACAACAUUGCCAGGUCAACCAUUUCUCAUGUCUUUGUCAUAUAUAUAGGUAUUGUGGUGUCUAAAUUUUGUCACCAGCCUCUUUCACCGACCCAUAAACUAUCUGUCUCGAGGUUCCCCAUCUAUAUUUGGGUUUCGAAAAAAAAGAACUUUUUUUGGACUUAUUUUGCAUUAGCUACUUUGUAGGUAUUAUGUGCAUUGUCAGGGAUCUGAUAUCAUGUAGUUCCAGGGAUUUCAGAAGGUAUGGUCAGUCCAUUGUUUUUGCCAUGUGUUACUUUUUCUCAUUACUGUGAUCAUCAGUGCUCUUGACAUCUGUUGUUCUUGCUUUAUGAUUGUCUUCCCAGUGCACUUUUAUUAGUUCUAACAUAUUAAUUUUAAUAUGCUUGAUUGACCAUAUUAUAUAUUUCACUUCACCGGGGUGGUGGCUAGAAGUGUUGGUUAAAGUAUUUUGGUUAAAACAUUGUCUCUAAUUAUCAAGUUUAUACAGUUGAAUCUUCUUGAUUGACUAUUUUGUAGCCUGCUCUUAGUUAGUAUUAAUUCUUAAAACUGGAUCUCUUAAAAUUAGUUAAAUUUAUGAGUUGUUUCACUGUUUUCAAAUAAGUAGCUUCAGCCCUCACUGUGUCCUGACGAUUAUUCUUACUACCUUUUUAUGAUUGCUUUAUGCUUUAACAAGCUUAAAUAUAACUAUUGGCAUAUAAUCUCAUGGCUUAAAAUCUUAGUUGAGAAUGUAUUAAAAGUUAUAAGAUCUGGAGUUUGCACUAUAUUUCAUCCAGCGGUAUUCCGAGUAACUGAAUGUUAAGAGCAUAGACGAUCAUAGGUUGUACAUUUUAGUUACUGGGAAAUGCUUUUAUCUUGCAGGCUAAUUUUACAUUUACUUUUUCAAUAAUGAGAUGACUAUGUACAGAGUGUCAAGUUUUUUGCCUUGGCAUUACUGCCGCUGUGUACAGAUGGUUACUGAAAGAAGAAGGAUUCAAGCAGCAUACCUUCACUUGACAGAUGCUUUAACCGCAAGAACUGAUGUUAUUUUCUUUUGGUUUUCUGCAAUGAUGGUAGUUCUCAUUUGAUUCUAGAACCUGCAAAGGAAGGGUAGAGAUUUCCAUUGUUGUUGAAUUGGUGGGAUUGUCACCAAGUUAGUGUUGCAGGUUGUUUCUGUUUUAGAGCAAGAAGCCAAAUCAUGUUGUUCAUUGUAAAUCUUGAAAAACUUGUUUACUGUCGCGUCUAUAUCCAUUAUAAACUUUCA